GGAGAGGUCGCAUAGUGGUCUAGUGCGGUUGCUUGGAGAGCAACUAACCCGUAAGGGUUCGCGAGUUCGAAUCUCGCCCUCUCCG
rnacentral:tRNA from 2 species